rnacentral:rRNA from 1 species
AUACGUAGGUGACAAGCGUUAUCCGGAUUUACUGGGCGUAAAGGGCGUGUAGGCGGUCUUGCAAGUCAGAAGUGAAAUUCCUGAGCUCAACUCGGGCGCUGCUUCUGAAACUGCAGGACUUGAGUGCUGGAGGGGAUGGCGGAAUUCCUAGUGGAGCGGUAAAAUGCGCAGAUAUUAGGAAGGAUACCGGUGGCGAAGGCGGGUAUCAGUACAGUAACGGACGCUGCGGCGCGAAAGCGUGGGGAGCAAACAGGACGAGAUAACCUGGUCGUCCAGACUGUACGCUAUGAAUGCUAGGUGUAGUGGGUAACGACUCCCUCUGUGCCGCAGUGAACACAAAAAGUGUGCCGCCUGGGGAGUACGGCGGCAAGGUUGAAACUCAAAUGGACAGACGGGG